rnacentral:rRNA from 1 species
AUGAUCCGCAGCUGGUCCAGGCCAUCGCCCAGAUGGACAACGAGGCGCUGGUGCCAAAUCCACUGGAGAACCUCGCUGCCUACCACGGCCCCUUGCCCCAGAUCCAGUAUCACGCUCCACUGCCACCGCUCCAGGUCCGGCAUCAAGGCCCCCUGCUCCCUCCUCCCCAGGUCCAGCAUCAAGCCCCCUCCUCGAAGACGACGACGACCCCAUCAGGGACGUCUCGAAGCUCUUCAAAGAAGGUAA